UACGUAGGUGGCAAGCGUUAUCCGGAUUUAUUGGGUGUAAAGGGCGUGUAGGCGGGAGCGCAAGUCAGAUGUGAAAACUCAGGGCUCAACCCUGAGCCUGCAUUUGAAACUGUGUUUCUUGAGUGCUGGAGAGGCAAUCGGAAUUCCGUGUGUAGCGGUGAAAUGCGUAGAUAUACGGAGGAACACCAGUUGCGAAGGCGGAUUGCUGGACAGUAACUGACGCUGAGGCGCGAAAGCGUGGGGAGCAAACAGG
rnacentral:rRNA from 1 species